GACGAACGCUGGCGGCGUGCUUAACACAUGCAAGUAGAACGAGUGGCGAACGGGUGAGUAAUACGUGAGUAACCUGCCCUCUUUAUGGGAUAAGCAUUGGAAACGGGGUCUAAUACCGGAUAAAGGGGGAUGGGCUCGCGGCCUAUCAGCUUGUUGGAGGGGUGUUGGCCUACCAAGGCGGUGACGGGUGGCCGGACGGAGAGUGUGACCGUCCCCAGUGGGACUGUGAUCCUGCCCAGCGUCAGACGGGGGGCAGCAGUGGGGGCUAUUGCACAAUGUGCGAAAUCCUGCUGCAGCGACGCCGCUUGGGGGAUGCAGGCUUUCGGGUUGGAAAGCUCUUUCGCUCUCUAACGGGUAGGUGUCGAAGACGCGCCGGCUAACUACGUGCCAGCAGCCGCGGUAAUUC
rnacentral:rRNA from 1 species